rnacentral:rRNA from 1 species
GACGAACGCUGGCGGCGUGCCUAAUACAUGCAAGUCGAACGCAGUGGGGACGGGUGAGUAACACGUGGGUAACCUCACAUCCGAGGGGAUAACACUUGGAAACAGGUGCUAAACCGAUACUGAUGGAUGAACCCGCGGUGCAUUAGCUAGUUGGUGAGGUAACGGCUCACCACGGCCACGAUGCAUAGCCGACCUGGUAGUGUGUUGUGCCACACUGGGGCUGAGACACGGCCCAUACUCCGACGGUAGGCAUCAGUAGGGAAUCUGCGGCAAUUGUCGAAAGUCUGCCCGAGCAAUGCCGCGUGAGUGAAGAAGGUUUUCGGAUCGUAAAACUCUGUUGUUAGAGAAGCGUUAUCUAACCAGAAAGCCACGGCUAACUCCGUGCCAGCAGCCGCGGUAAUAC